CUGCUCAUGCACAGAACCAACUACCGAUAACUAACAGUGCAUGAAGGUUAGUUAUUCCA
rfam:White-eye coronavirus HKT16, complete genome